UACGUAGGUCGCAAGCGUUGUCCGGAUUUACUGGGCGUAAAGAGCGCGCAGGCGGCUGGUCAAGUCCGAUGUGAAAUCUCCCGGCUCAACUGGGAAACUGCAUCGGAAACUGAUCGGCUCGAAGAUGGGAGAGGGUAGUGGAAUUCCCGGUGUAGUGGUGAAAUGCGUAGAUAUCGGGAGGAACACCAGUGGCGAAGGCGACUACCUGGCCCAUUCUUGACGCUGAGGCGCGAAAGCUAGGGGAGCGAACGGG
rnacentral:rRNA from 1 species